rnacentral:rRNA from 1 species
GACGAACGCUGGCGGCGUGCUUAACACAUGCAAGUCGAACGAUGAAGCCGGAGCUUGCUCUGGUGAAUUAGUGGCGAACGGGUGAGUAACACGUGAGUAACCUGCCCUUGACUCUGGGAUAACUGCUAGAAAUGGUAGCUAAUACCGGAUACGACCCUCGGAGGCAUCCCCAGGGGGUGGAAAGAAUUUCGGUCAAGGAUGGACUCGCGGCCUAUCAGCUAGUUGGUGAGGUAAUGGCUCACCAAGGCGACGACGGGUAGCCGGCCUGAGAGGGUGACCGGCCACACUGGGACUGAGACACGGCCCAGACUCCUACAGGAGGCAGCAGUGGGGAAUAUUGCACAAUGGGCGCAAGCCUGAUGCAGCAACGCCGCGUGAGGGAUGACGGCCUUCGGGUUGUAAACCUCUUUUAGUAGGGAAGAAGCGAAAGUGACGGUACCUGCAGAAAAAGCACCGGCUAACUACGUGCCAGCCGCCGCAGUAA